CAGCCGCCGCGGUAACACGGAGGGUGCAAGCGUUAAUCGGAAUUACUGGGCGUAAAGCGCACGCAGGCGGUUUGUUAAGUCAGAUGUGAAAUCCCCGAGCUUAACUUGGGAACUGCAUUUGAAACUGGCAAGCUAGAGUCUUGUAGAGGGGGGUAGAAUUCCAGGUGUAGCGGUGAAAUGCGUAGAGAUCUGGAGGAAUACCGGUGGCGAAGGCGGCCCCCUGGACAAAGACUGACGCUCAGGUGCGAAAGCGUGGGGAGCAAACAGGAUUAGAUACCCGGGUAGUCCCUGUCUCUUAUAC
rnacentral:rRNA from 1 species